AGUGAACGCUGGCGGUAGGCCUAACACAUGCAAGUCGAACGGCAGCACAGUAAGAGCUUGCUCUUACGGGUGGCGAGUGGCGGACGGGUGAGGAAUACAUCGGAAUCUACUUUUUCGUGGGGGAUAACGUAGGGAAACUUACGCUAAUACCGCAUACGACCUACGGGUGAAAGCAGGGGAUCUUCGGACCUUGCGCGAUUGAAUGAGCCGAUGUCGGAUUAGCUAGUUGGCGGGGUAAAGGCCCACCAAGGCGACGAUCCGUAGCUGGUCUGAGAGGAUGAUCAGGCACACUGGAACUGAGACACGGUCCAGACUCCUACGGGAGGCAGCAGUGGGGAAUAUUGGACAAUGGGCGCAAGCCUGAUCCAGCCAUACCGCGUGGGUGAAGUAGGCCUUCGGGUUGUAAAGCCCUUUUGUUGGGAAAGAAAAGCAGCAGGUUAAUACCCCGCUGUUCUGACGGUACCCAAAGAAUAAGCACCGGCUAACUUCGUG
rnacentral:rRNA from 1 species